AGCGAAUAGAUACCCGGGUAGUCCCAGCCGUAAACGAUGCUCGCUAGGUGUCAGGCAUGGCGCGACCGUGUCUGGUGCCGCAGGGAAGCCGUGAAGCGAGCCACCUGGGAAGUACGGCCGCAAGGCUGAAACUUAAAGGAAUUGGCGGGGGAGCACAACAACGGGUGGAGCCUGCGGUUUAAUUGGACUCAACGCCGGACAACUCACCGGGGGCGACAGCAAUAUGUAGGCCAAGCUGAAGACUUUGCCUGAAUCGCUGAGAGGAGGUGCAUGGCCGUCGCCAGUUCGUACUGUGAAGCAUCCUGUUAAGUCAGGCAACGAGCGAGACCCGUGCCCACUGUUACCAGCAUGUCCUCGGUAGUG
rnacentral:rRNA from 1 species